AGCACGCCCGCGACCCCUGUGGGGACAAGCGGUACAGAUAAUGGAUGGAUGGAUGGAUGUUAGUGUGUCCCAUAACUUCUUCUCACUUCUUAAAUGACUCAAUUGUGUCAUAUAAUGUGUUCUAAUCUUGACUGAGACCCGAUCUACACACAAAGACAAUCAGGCCGUUCCCCUUCCUUUCCGACCAAGGACGACAAAUGGCUUAUGUCUUCUAAGAAUAUGAAUAUGAUCUCACUUUUAAUCUUCAAGUCAGGACUCCAAUACAAAAAAAAACAAUCUUCGAAGAAUGGAAAAAUCCUUACGUGUGUUCGUGGCCUAAUUUGAAAGAGAAUUAAGUGGUCGUAGUAUCAUGGAAGGUGUACUUCCCAGUUUGGCCACUGGGGCAGCGCUCUGGGAUAAACUGCAGUAUGCAUGUUUUGCAAUCCAAGUAUCUGUGUGCUAAAUUUAAAUGUGCUCUCUCCUGCCUUCCCUCAAGGCCUCCAGGACCCGCCAGGCUUCUACUGACAAUGGCGACAAAGAUGGAGUACAAGGGUUGAAACUAUUGUAGCCUGGUUGCAAAAGAGGUGAAAAUGAAAGACACGGCCCUCCUCCCCUGCUCCAAUUGCUCGGCUUCCAUUGGAGCGGGGAGAUCAGAUGACAGCGACCCCUGUUGGCAGUGUCGGGAUGACGAGCUUGAGCGCGCGCCACCGGCUGCAGAUGCGGGGAGGGCCUGCAAAACCGGUUUCCAAAAGGUGACGGAUGAUUUGCAAUGAACACUUGUUUGCCUGCCAGCCGGCCCCUCAACUCUGGUACUGUUCUAAAAGCAACAGUUCGCCAUGCACAAGCGUGUGUGUCUUCACUUUUACCCCAGCUGUCCGUCAGCUGGAACCUUUGCUCCGUUCCGCUUGUCAGGAGCGGGACAAAGAUUACCUAUCACUACUUGGGAUGACGCCAGCUGCGUGUAGUGACACGUGCAGCCGCUAGGGGGCGUUUUGUCGCGAUCCAAAACGACCACAUCACUUUUUACUCUUCGACGAUGAGCAUAAUGAGAAUAAGUAACUUUAGUCUAAAUAAUAGAGCUUACAUUAACAAUUGUCAGUUAACGCUGUAAUACUUUAAUUCGAUUAAAAAAAUCACAAACUUCCAUAAACACGCAAACAUUGGCGAAGAAAUGACUAUCGUGACCCCUAGUGGUAAGAAUAGGACCUGCAAUAUGUGGUCACAUAGCCGCUAUGUGAACUGCAUAGCUUGUCUUUUUGUGUUUGUGUGGUUUAUGUAAGAAGAGUGUCAAAUGGACGUCCACGCAAUCCAAAGAGUUUUGUUCAAAAGUGAGAUGCGAAUCUUGACUGAACAAAAGCAGUACUCUCAAAAGAACAAGUUCAUGAUGAUGCUUUUGACUUUGCUUUAUUGUUAGAUGAGCAAGAAAUGCAUUAGAGCAGAAAUUGGUUGAAGAGAGAAACAAUCACUUGGUUUGUGGAGGCAUUUUUCGUCCAGGUUUUCUCGAGGCGAUAAGGACCGAA